CGACUCCGCGCGGAGGAGCGGGGACCCGGGCCUGCAGUCGGAGGCCCGGCUGCUGGGGGGCACUGGGGCAGGCCUUACCGCCAACCCCGCACCCUCGGCCGGGAGGCUGCAGGUCGGUGGCUAACCCCAGGCGUGUCCCGGGAUGGGACCCGACUCUGCCCUCAGAGACAGGGACAGUCGGGCCAGGCCAACAAACAACCAAAAUCCCAACGUGUGCUGGGCUCACCCGGGACACCAGGGCCGGAGGGAGAGACCCGGGAAGUCACCGAGGCUGCAGGGGAGGCAGCUUUGGCGCUGGGCCUGCGGGAGCCUCUUGUAUAGGAAUUCAUAGCUACCGGGGUUACUGAGGAUGAGUUAGGCUUUGGAACCACAAGUAGAUUUAUUUUCCAAAGAAGAAGAAUAAAAUGGUGCAGGUGAAGAUGCGGAGGAACUGGAUGAGACGCAUAGGAACGCCACUGGGCAGCUCAAAGCGGUGUUCCUGUGAGUUCACCAUGGACCCCUUGAGCCACCGACGCCCCGCCCAGCCUUACACUCAGCAGAAACGCAUACAACAUGUGCUCCAAAAGACAGAAAGACAUGUAGCCGCACAUUCAUAAUUCCUCCAAUUGGGAAGCCUAGCGUCAUCAAGGCAGAUGAAUAUCGUGGAGUAUUCGGGCUUAGGAGCACGACAAACGGAACAGGAGUGAAUGAUCCGCAACUCACAUAACGGGGUGUCUUAUAAGUUUGAAGUUUGCAGAGAGCCCAGGAAAGCUUACCAAGGGGACCAGCAUGCUCACGCCUCUGAGGUUAAGGAGGCCCCUCAGGAAGAGGUGACAUGCGACUGGCCAGUGAAAGUUCUCAGCACAUCCAGCUUCCAGAGGCCCACUGGAAGAUCAUAGGCCUGAGAUUCUUGCAGUCCAGGCAUCCACCAUCCAUGAUGGGCCCUUGACCUCGCCCACUCCACACCGACCCUAGGACUUGGAAGACACAAGGAACUCAUGUGAACACCAUGCUUAAACUGCAGCUAUUAUUUUACUGCAACUAAUAAAGUCCCUGUCUCUGACCCAGGAGUCUCAGAACUGGAGAUUGGCAGUGCCUCUAUUUGAAUGGAGGUCAUCUGACUCCCUUUGUAUCUUGGGUUCUGUUUUUCAAUAAAAAUUAUAGCAUUGUAACAUUUCCCUGUCUUAUUAGAAAUCUCCAUUACAUAUCCAGUGAGUGGAUAUGUUUAGAAGUCGCAUACACAUUUACUUAACCACUCACUCUCUUAUUAGGGGACAUUUUCGUCAUUUAAACUUUGCAGCGUUAGAAAUGAUGCUGCCGUGAAACCUGUGCGCUCCAGGUUCAGCUGUACCUCUGCGGCUCCCAGCAGGAAUGGCCUAGAAGAGUAAGUGCUGCACCAAGAAA
rnacentral:lncRNA from 1 species